rnacentral:rRNA from 1 species
UACAGAGGUCCCAAGCGUUGUUCGGAUUUACUGGGCGUAAAGGGUGCGUAGGUGGCGAGGUAAGUUUGAUGUGAAAUCUCCGAGCUCAACUCGGAAAUGGCAUUGAAUACUAUCCCGCUUGAGGGUCGGAGGGGAGACUGGAAUUCUCGGUGUAGCAGUGAAAUGCGUAGAUAUCGAGAGGAACACCAGUGGCGAAGGCGAGUCUCUGGACGACUCCUGACACUGAGGCACGGAAAGCUGGGGGAGCAAACAGG